rnacentral:rRNA from 1 species
GACGAACGCUGGCGGCGUGCCUAAUACAUGCAAGUCGAGCGCAGGAAGCUGACGGAACUCUUCGGAGGGAAGGCAGUGGAAUGAGCGGCGGACGGGUGAGUAACACGUAAGGAACCUGCCUCAAGGAUUGGGAUAACUCCGAGAAAUCGGAGCUAAUACCGGAUAGUUCAACGGACCGCAUGGUCCGCUGAUGAAAGGCGCUUCGGCGUCACCUUGAGAUGGCCUUGCGGUGCAUUAGCUAGUUGGGGGGGUAACGGCCUACCAAGGCGACGAUGCAUAGCCGACCUGAGAGGGUGAUCGGCCACACUGGGACUGAGACACGGCCCAGACUCCUACGGGAGGCAGCAGUAGGGAAUCUUCCACAAUGGACGAAAGUCUGAUGGAGCAACGCCGCGUGAGUGAUGAAGGUUUUCGGAUCGUAAAACUCUGUUGUAAGGGAAGAACACGUACGAGAGGGAAUGCUCGUACCUUGACGGUACCUUGCGAGAAAGCCACGGCUAACUACGUGCCAGCAGCCGCGGUAA